rnacentral:rRNA from 1 species
CACGUCCUACGGGACGCAGCAGUGGGGAAUAUUGCACAAUGGGGGAAACCCUGAUGCAGCGACGCCGCGUGAGUGAAGAAGUAUUUCGGUAUGUAAAGCUCUAUCAGCAGGGAAGAAAAUGACGGUACCUGACUAAGAAGCCCCGGCUAACUACGUGCCAGCAGCCGCGGUAAUACGUAGGGGGCAAGCGUUAUCCGGGUUUACUGGGUGUAAAGGGAGCGUAGACGGCGGAACAAGUCAGAAGUGAAAAACCGGGGCUCAACCCUGGGAGUGCUUUUGAAACUGUUUGACUGGAGUGCAG